CCUACGGGGGGCAGCAGUGGGGAAUAUUGCACAAUGGGGGAAACCCUGAUGCAGCGACGCCGCGUGGAGGAAGAAGGUCUUCGGAUUGUAAACUCCUGUUGUUGGGGAAAAGAAGGAUGGUACCCAACAAGGAAGUGACGGCUAACUACGUGCCAGCAGCCGCGGUAAAACGUAGGUCACGAGCGUUGUCCGGAAUUACUGGGUGUAAAGGGAGCGCAGGCGGGUAUGCAAGUUGGGAGUGAAAUACAUGGGCUCAACCCAUGAACUGCUCUCAAAACUGUGUAUCUUGAGUAGUGCAGAGGUAGGCGGAAUUCCCGGUGUAGCGGUGGAAUGCGUAGAUAUCGGGAGGAACACCAGUGGCGAAGGCGGCCUACUGGGCACCAACUGACGCUGAGGCUCGAAAGUGUGGGUAGCAAACAGGAUUAGAUACCCGGGUAGUC
rnacentral:rRNA from 1 species